GACGAACGCUGGCGGCGUGCUUAACACAUGCAAGUCGAACGGUGAAGGGGUCUGCUUUUGUGGGCCCUGGAUGAGUGGCGAACGGGUGAGUAACACGUGAGUAACCUGCCCCCUUCUUCUGGAUAACCGCAUGAAAGUGUGGCUAAUACGGGAUAUUCUGGGUCUGUCGCAUGAUGGGUCUGGGAAAGAUUGCGCCUUUGGGUGUUUUUGGUGGGGGAUGGGCUCGCGGCCUAUCAGCUUGUUGGUGGGGUGAUGGCCUCCCAAGGCGGUGACGGGUAGCCGACCUGAGAGGGUGGCCGGUCACACUGGGACUGAGACACGGCCCAGAAUCCUACGGGAGGCAGCAGUGGGGACUAUUGCACAAUGGGCGCAAGCCUGAUGCCGCGACGCCGCGUGAGGGAUGGAGGCCUUCGGGUUGUAAACCUCUUUCGCAAGUGAAGCAGGCCUGCUCCUUGUGGGUGGGUUGACGGUAGCUGGAUAAGAAGCGCCGGCUAACUACGUG
rnacentral:rRNA from 1 species